AUGUUUAUUUCAAGCAGGAGCGUUUGCCCUUUGCAUUCAGUUUUGUCCUUAGCCCGUGUAUAUCUCAGAGAUGCAAACAGCCUUGAUAAAACUGCAUUUGAUGCCCUGAGAAGGAGAGCAGAUCUGUCAUUGGGAUAUCCAAAAGGAACACAAGACUGGGACUUUGAGCAAAACAAAAGGCUUCUUCAGAAUGGCAGCACCAGAAACCCAUCUUGUAAGUGGGGAAAAAAUGGUAACAAGCUUUUUUCCAAGGACUAUAAAAUGAUGUAUAUUUAACUCAUGUGUAUUUAUUCUUUAUUUCAUCUUUGUUUGUUAAUAUACCCACCAGUACUCAAAAGAAGAACGGCAGCCUUGUGGAGAUGUUAAAUAAAGCGAAUGCUCAGAAACAGCAGUCUCUCCCAUCCUUCUCUCCGACAUGAUCGGAAUGUAGAACGACUGCACAGAUAUACGAGAUUGGAUCAAUCAUCUCAUAUUGAUGCUGCUCUAUAUGUUGGAGCCUUCUUCUUUUUUAAUGACUCAAGGUCUUCCUCUUUCCAGUUCCCAGGGAAACCAGGCAAUCAUAGACAAAGACCAGGAGAAAGAGACUUAAUUACUGUGAGUCAGUAUUAGGUGGCACCUCUGAGUUAAUACGCGCACAAACAACAAAAUGCCUUUUGAAAGCUAUACACUGAAGUACAUCCAAGUCCAAAUCCAAACCCUUUCAGGUAUAAAUACCCACCUACAGACACUUUGUUAAGCAGCGUGCAUCCAAUUCAGUCACACAAGCGCACACACAGUGGGGUGGUUUUGGCAGCGUCAGGUUUUGAGACCGCCGUGCCCGUUCUAUCAUUCAUUCCCUCAGAAGUGUUUUUCAUCCUCUUUUACCCCUGUGGAAAAACAGAAUUCAUGACCUGCCACCUUUUUUUGCUGACUGCACAGGCCAUCCGCUGCCUCGGUAAACGAUUUUCCCGGCUUUUUUCAGCCGCCUCACAAAACACUUGAUGACACAAGUGGCAUGAAAAGUAUGCAAUUCAAUUUGUCAGUGGUUAUUACUUCGCAGCGUGGACAGUUACAGUUAUGUGUUGAUUACAGGCAGAUUUUUUUUCCCCCCCCUGUCGAGCUGACUGUCACUUCUGGCAGUUGGGAAAAGCAAAAGUG
rnacentral:lncRNA from 1 species